rnacentral:misc_RNA from 1 species
UGUGUCAUUUCUUUUUUGAUUAUAUAUUACUGGAAUGACACAGAAUUUCUAACACUCCCGCUAUUACUUUCAAAGAAACAACCU